CCUACGGGUGGCAGCAGUGGGGGAUAUUGGUCAAUGGGCGCAACCCUGAUCCAGCGACGCCGCGUGACUGAAGAAGGAUUUCGGGUUGUAAAGUUCUUUUAUCAGGGAAGAAAGAAGUGACGGUACCUGAUGAAGAAGCCACGGCUAACUACGUGCCAGCAGCCGCGGUAAUACGUAGGGGGCAAGCGUUAUCCGGAAUUACUGGGUGUAAAGGGAGCGUAGACGGGAGUGCAAGUCUGGAGUGAAAGGUAGGGGCCCAACCCCCAGACUGCACUUGAAACUGUGUAACUGGAGUGCCGGAGAGGCAAGCGGAAUUCCGUGUGUAGCGGUGAAAUGCGUAGAUAUUAGGAGGAACACCAGUGGCGAAGGCGGAUUGCUGGACUGUAACUGACGUUGAGGCUCGAAAGCGUGGGGAGCAAACAGGAUUAGAUACCCGGGUAGUC
rnacentral:rRNA from 1 species